rnacentral:lncRNA from 1 species
CAUUCGGUCCAUCUGGAUUGACUACUGAAGUUAAGUCAGUUGAGAUGCACCAUGAGUCUCUCCUGGAGGCACUUCCUGGUGAUAAUGUGGGGUUCAACGUUAAGAAUGUUUCAGUGAAGGAUCUUAAGCGUGGUUACGUUGCAUCUAACUCCAAGGAUGAUCCCGCCAAGGGGGCAUCCAACUUCACCUCCCAAGUUAUCAUCAUGAACCACCCUGGCCAGAUUGGAAACGGUUAUGCACCUGUUCUUGAUUGCCACACUUCCCACAUUGCUGUCAAGUUUGCUGAAAUCUUGACCAAGAUUGACAGGCG